UACGUAGGUGGCAAGCGUUGUCCGGAUUUACUGGGCGUAAAGAGCGCGCAGGCGGUCGUACAAGUCGCGUGUGAAAGCCCCCGGCUCAACUGGGGAGGGUCACGCGAUACUGUUCGACUCGAAGGCAGGAGAGGGAAGCAGAAUUCCCGGUGUAGUGGUGAAAUGCGUAGAUAUCGGGAGGAAUACCAGUGGCGAAGGCGGCUUCCUGGCCUGUUCUUGACGCUGAGGCGCGAAAGCUAGGGGAGCAAACGGG
rnacentral:rRNA from 1 species